AUUAAAGGAAAUAAGAGCGCACAGUGGAUGCCUAGGCACCAAGAGCUGAUGAAGGACGCAAUUAACGGCGAUACGCUACGGGGAGCUGUAAAUAAGUGUAGAUCCGUGGAUUUCCGAAUGGGGCAACCUACUAUAAGAAGUUAUAGUAUCAAUUGUUAGGCAACUAACUGAUUGAAAGGAACGCAGUGAACUGAAAUAUCUAAGUAACUGCAGGAACAGAAAGUAAUAACGAUUCCGGUAGUAGUGACGAGCGAAUCCGGAACAGCCGGAUACCAAUAACUAGUUACCAAAUUUUAAUUAACUCGAAAUAGUUGGAAAGCUAUAUCCCAGAAGGUGAAAAUCCUGUAGAGGUAAGUUAAAAUCUAGGGUAUCCUCAAGUACGGCGAGACACGAGAAAUCUUGUUGGAAGAUAGGAGGACCAUCUCCUAAGGCUAAAUACUCCUUGGUGACCGAUAGUGAACUAGUACCGUGAGGGAAAGGUGAAAAGAACCCCGGAAGGGGAGUGAAAUAGAUCCUGAAACUGUGUGCUUACAAGUAGUCAAAGCUCGUUUAAGAGUGAUGGCGUGCCUUUUGCAGAAUGAACCGGCGAGUUAUGAUAUAGAGCAAGGUUAAGUUUGAAGGAACGUAGCCGUAGCGAAAGCGAGUCUGAAUAGGGCGUUUAGUUGUAUGUCAUAGACCCGAAACUGAAGUGAGCUAGCCAUGAACAGGCUGAAGUGACGUGACCACGUCAUGGAGGGCCGAACCAGGACACGUUGAAAAGUGUUUGGAUGAUUUGUGGCUAGAGGUGAAAUUCCAAUCGAACUCAGAGAUAGCUGGUUCUCCCCGAAAUAGCUUUAGGGCUAGCGUUGGGUAUUUAAUAGUUCUUGAAGGUAGAGCACUAAAUGAGUGCGGGCUCCACCUCGGGGUACCAAUCUCAAUUAAACUCCGAAUGUCAAGAACCGUAUCCCAGCAGUCAGACGAUGGGUGAUAAGGUCCAUGGUCAAAAGGGAAAGAGCCCAGACCGUCAGCUAAGGUCCCUAAAUUAAUGUUAAGUGGUUAAGGAAGUAAAAACGUUAAAACAAUUAGGAAGUUGGCUUAGAAGCAGCCAUCUUUUAAAGAGUGCGUAAUAGCUCACUAAUCUAAUAUUUUUGCACCGAAAAUGUAACGGGGCUAAACAUUAUACCGAAGCUACGGAUAUGUUCCGGCUAGUAAUAGCUAAGGAACAUGUGGUAGGGGAAGCGUUCUAACAUCGUAGAAGCUAUAGCGGAAGCAGUAGUGGAGAGGUUAGAAGUGAGAAUGCCGGUGUAAGUAACGAAAAGAUAGAUGAGAAUUCUAUCCGUCGAAAACCCAAGGUUUCCAGGGGCAGGGUCGUCCGCCCUGGGUUAGUCAGGAACUAAGGCGAGGCAGCAAUGCGUAGUCGAUGACCAGCAGGCUAAAAUUCCUGCACUAAAAAAAUCACUGAUGGAGGGACAAAAGAGGAUAAGCACGCCCUUUAUUGGAUUAGGGUCGAAAAAUCGAGUUUGAGAAGAUAGGCAAAUCCGUCUUCUUACUUGCCAAAAAAUGAGAUUUGAGGGUAACGUGACUGUGUUCAUAUUUUCUAGAAAAGCUUCUAGGGUUAAUGAUUUUUUUACCUGUACCGUAAACCGACACAGGUGGGAAGGUAGAGUAUACUAAGACGCGCGAGAAAACUCUUGUUAAGGAACUCGGCAAAAUGACUCCGUAACUUCGGGAUAAGGAGAGCUUUUAUGAUAAAAAGUAAAAGCCGCAGAGAAUAGGCCCAAGCGACUGUUUAUCAAAAACACAGGUCUCUGCUAAACCGUAAGGUGAUGUAUAGGGGCUGAUGCCUGCCCGGUGCUGGAAGAUUAAGAGGAGAUGUUCGGGCUUGCCUAANNNNNNNNNNNNNNNNNNNNNNNNNNNNNNNNNNNNNNNNNNNNNNNNNNNNNNNNNNNNNNNNNNNNNNNNNNNNNNNNNNNNNNNNNNNNNNNCUAAAGCAUUGAAUUGAAGUCCCAGUGAACGGCGGCCGUAACUAUAACGGUCCUAAGGUAGCGAAAUUCCUUGUCGGGUAAAUUCCGACCUGCACGAAAGGCAUAACGAUUUGGGCGCUGUCUCAACAAGAGUCUCGGUGAAAUCAAAUUACCGGUGAAAAUGCCGGUUACCCGCGACAGGACGAAAAGACCCCAUGGAGCUUUACUGUAGCUUAAUAUUGGAAUUGGAAAUCUCAUGUACAGGAUAGGUGGGAGACAGAGAACUUUAGACGCUAGUUUAAAGGGAGUCACCGGUGGGAUACCACUCUUGAGAUUUUUAGUUUCUAACCUGCAUAAGUGGAUUAUGAGGGACAGUGUUUGGUGGGCAGUUUGACUGGGGCGGUCGCCUCCUAAAAAGUAACGGAGGCGUUCAAAGGUUCCCUCAAAAUGGUCAGAAAUCAUUUUUAGAGCGUAAAGGUAUAAGGGAGCUUGACUGUGAGACCUACAAGUCGAGCAGGGACGAAAGUCGGACUUAGUGAUCUUGCGGUACCGAAUGGAAGGGCCGUGACUCAACGGAUAAAAGCUACCCUGGGGAUAACAGCCUUAUCGCCCCCGAGCGUUCACAGCGACGGGGCGGUUUGGGACCUCGAUGUCGGCUCAUCGCAUCCUGGAGCUGGAGCAGGUUCCAAGGGUUGGGCUGUUCGCCCAUUAAAGCGGUACGCGAGCUGGGUUCAGAACGUCGUGAGACAGUUCGGUCUCUAUCCGUCGUGGGCGUUGGAAAUUUGCGAGGAACUGUCCCUAGUAUGAGAAGACCGGGAUGGAUAUACCGCUGGUGCACCAGUUGGUUCGCCAGAGCCAUAGCUGGGUAGCUAUGUAUAGUAUGGAUAAACACUGAAAGCAUCUAAGUGUGAAGCCUCCCUCAAGAUGAGAUUUCCCUAAGAGAUCCCUGAAAGACGAUCAGGUUGAUAGGCUAGAAGUGGAAGAGUAGUGAUAUUUGGAGCUGACUAGUACUAAUAGAUCCAACGACUUUGAUGA
rnacentral:rRNA from 1 species